UACGACCAUAUUACGUUAAAACAUCGGUUCCGUAGGAUCACCGAAGUUAAGCAACGUCAAGCCUGGUCAGUAUCUAGAUGGGUGAUUAUUUGGGAAUACCCGGUGUUA